rnacentral:rRNA from 1 species
UACGAAGGUGGCAAGCGUUGUUCGGAUUUACUGGGCGUACAGGGAGCGUAGGCGGUUGGAUAAGCCCUCCGUGAAAUCUCCAGGCUUAACCUGGAAAGUGCAGAGGGGACUGUUCAGCUAGAGGAUGGGAGAGGAGCGCAGAAUUCCAGGUGUAGCGGUGAAAUGCGUAGAUAUCUGGAGGAAUACCGGUGGCGAAGGCGGCAUCCUGGACCAUAACUGACGCUGAGGCGCGAAAGCUAGGGGAGCAAACGGG